rnacentral:rRNA from 1 species
AUUGAACGCUGGCGGCAGGCCUAACACAUGCAAGUCGAACGGUAACAGGAAGCAGCUUGCUGCUUCGCUGACGAGUGGCGGACGUGUGAGUAAUGUCUGGGAAACUGCCUGAUGGAGGGGGAUAACUACUGGAAACGGUAGCUAAUACCGCAUAACGUCGCAAGACCAAAGAGGGGGACCUUAGGGCCUCUUGCCAUCGGAUGUGCCCAGAUGGGAUUAGCUAGUAGGUGGGGUAACGGCUCACCUAGGCGACGAUCCCUAGCUGGUCUGAGAGGAUGACCAGCCACACUGGAACUGAGACACGGUCCAGACUCCUACGGGAGGCAGCAGUGGGGAAUAUUGGACAAUGGGCGCAAGCCUGAUGCAGCCAUGCCGCGUGUAUGAAGAAGGCCUUCGGGUUGUAAAGUACUUUCAGCGGGGAGGAAGGGAGUAAAGUUAAUACCUUGGCUCAUUGACGUUACCCGCAGAAGAAGCACCGGCUAACUACGUG